CAGAUGUUUUAACACCUGUGUGAACCCCCUCCUAUAUACGUUUUAUCAGAAACAGGUGUCUAAGCAUAUGACAAACCCAAUCCUUUAAAGGAACGCAUUGUAUUUUUUUUCAAGAAGCACAAGUUAAAACAGAUGUCCUAAAACCCUAGCAAACCACUCCUAAAUACACUGUCAGAAACCAGUGUAAAAGCACACGUUUAAAUCAUGUAAACAGGUGUCUUUUAACACCUAAGCAACCACUCCUUAAAUAUACUACAAGUGUUUAAACAUCUGUGUAACCC
rnacentral:lncRNA from 1 species